ensembl:lncRNA
GAAAGGACAUGGUGGAGUCAGCGGCGAUAAGGACACCGGGGCAGACGGGGCAGUGUCCCCGAGACGACAAGGAAGCCGGACAACCUGGGAGGGGGGUUGUUGACCGGAAGAGAAAUUGGUCAAACUUGUGGAAGAUCACUCAAGCGAGGGUCGGGUUUGUCAUCAGGUCGUAUGGACGUACGACACGCUUCCUUGUCCCCGGAACCUCCAGCAGUGGUUUCGAAACAAGCCAGCCUGCCCUCGCUUUGACGCGGUCGGUCUGUGAGGUCACGCUUUCACAGAGACGCUAUGGAUGGCGCCAUGACCAGGUCCUGGCAAAGCUAGCCGAGGUGCUGGAAAGGCGCAGAUGGGAAAGCGGUGCACGUAUCCCUCCAAUGGAACACCACGUCAACUUUCUCAGGGAGGGCGGAGGAAGGAGAAGCACCAGAGCCCUUUUCCUCCGGAGUGGAGUGGAACCUGCGAGUAGAUCUUUGCAGGCAGCUCCGGUUCCCCAGCGAACUGCCGGAGGAGGCGGAGAAGAGCACAUUUUGGCAGUGGCUAAGAAGAGGCUAAGAUCAAGGGGGGAGAAGGAAGGGCUGUUGUAUGGCAGAUUUUUUUCCGCGCAUGCACCGAGUGGCGAGCCAGAGAGGAGGCUUUGAUCUUCUGCUGAUGCUGAGCGUACAUGUCCAGAGGGCUCCGGCCUGAAGGGAAUGUCUCCUGCAGUGAUUACGAGCAGACGUCCUGGUUGUUGGGUUUUGCCAGCAUGCUGGUAGAAGAGCCUUUCAUUGCCCGUAGGGAAUAAGUAUCUACUGGGAGGACUAUUCCAUUUACCAGCAUGGCCUCAUGACUGCAGCCAGUAUUCACAGUAUGAGGUUCUUAUGUUAUUUCUGUGCUUACAUGCAUGAAUGUCUAGCAGGAUGAAAUAAAGAGUCAGAUAUGAUUUGUAAUUUGUUUCAUAAAAGUGUGU